rnacentral:rRNA from 1 species
AUUGAACGCUGGCGGAAUGCUUUACACAUGCAAGUCGAACGGCAGCACGGACUUCGGUCUGGUGGCGAGUGGCGAACGGGUGAGUAAUGUAUCGGAACGUGCCCAGUCGUGGGGGAUAACGUAGUGAAAAUUACGCUAAUACCGCAUACGAUCUAUGGAUGAAAGCGGGGGAUCGCAAGACCUCGUGCGAUUGGAGCGGCCGAUAUAAGAUUAGGUAGGUGGUGGGGUAAAGGCCCACCAAGCCAGCAAUCUGUAGCUGGUCUGAGAGGACGGGCGGCUACACUGGAACUGAGACACGGUCCAGACUCCGACGGGAGGCAGCAGUGGGGAAUUUUGGACAAUGGGCGAAAGCCUGAUCCAGCCAUUCCGCGUGCAGGAUGAAGGCCCUCGGGUUGUAAACUGCUUUUGUACAGAACGAAAAGGUUUCUACUAAUACUAGGAGCUCAUGACGGUACUGUAAGAAUAAGCACCGGCUAACUACGUGCCAGCCGCCGCCGUAA